AUUGAACGCUGGCGGCAGGCCUAACACAUGCAAGUCGAACGAGCGGCGGACGGGUGAGUAAUGUCUGGGAAACUGCCCGAUGGAGGGGGAUAACUACUGGAAACGGUAGCUAAUACCGCAUACCAUCGGAUGUGCCCAGAUGGGAUUAGCUAGGAGGUGGGGUAACGGCUCACCUAGGCGACGAUCCCUAGCUGGUCUGAGAGGAUGACCAGCCACACUGGAACUGGGACACGGUCCAAAAUCCGACGGGAGGCAGCAGUGGGGAAUAUUGCACAAUGGGGGCAAGCCUGAUGCAGCCAUGCCGGGUGUAUGAAGAAGGCCUUCGGGUUUGAAAGUACUUUCAGCGGAGAAGCGUUACCCACAGAAAGAGCACCGGCUAACUCCGUGCCAGCAGCCGCGGUAAUAC
rnacentral:rRNA from 1 species